rnacentral:rRNA from 1 species
AUACAUGCAAGUCGAGCGGACAGAUGGGAGCUUGCUCCCUGAUGUUAGCGGCGGACGGGUGAGUAACACGUGGGUAACCUGCCUGUAAGACUGGGAUAACUCCGGGAAACCGGGGCUAAUACCGGAUGCUUGUUUGAACCGCAUGGUUCAAACAUAAAAGGUGGCUUCGGCUACCACUUACAGAUGGACCCGCGGCGCAUUAGCUAGUUGGUGAGGUAAUGGCUCACCAAGGCAACGAUGCGUAGCCGACCUGAGAGGGUGAUCGGCCACACUGGGACUGAGACACGGCCCAGACUCCUACGGGAGGCAGCAGUAGGGAAUCUUCCGCAAUGGACGAAAGUCUGACGGAGCAACGCCGCGUGAGUGAUGAAGGUUUUCGGAUCGUAAAGCUCUGUUGUUAGGGAAGAACAAGUACCGUUCGAAUAGGGCGGUACCUUGACGGUACCUAACCAGAAAGCCACGGCUAACUACGUGCCAGCAGCCGCGGUAAUACGUAAGGUGGCAAGCGUUGUCCGGAAUUAUUGGGCGUAAAGGGCUCGCAGGCGGUUCCUUAAGUCUGAUGUGAAAGCCCCCGGCUCAACCGGGGAGGGUCAUUGGAAACUGGGGAACUUGAGUGCAGAAAGAGGAGAGUGGAAUUCCACGUGUAGCGGUGAAAUGCGUAGAGAUGUGGAGGAACACCAGUGGCGAAGGCGACUCUCUGGUCUGUAACUGACGCUGAGGAGCGAAAGCGUGGGGAGCGAACAGGAUUAGAUACCCUGGUAGUCCACGCCGUAAACGAUGAGUGCUAAGUGUUAGGGGGUUUCCGCCCCUUAGUGCUGCAGCUAACGCAUUAAGCACUCCGCCUGGGGAGUACGGUCGCAAGACUGAAACUCAAAGGAAUUGACGGGGGCCCGCACAAGCGGUGGAGCAUGUGGUUUAAUUUGAAGCAACGCGAAGAACCUUACCAGGUCUUGACAUCCUCUGACAAUCCUAGAGAUAGGACGUCCCCUUCGGGGGCAGAGUGACAGGUGGUGCAUGGUUGUCGUCAGCUCGUGUCGUGAGAUGUUGGGUUAAGUCCCGCAACGAGCGCAACCCUUGAUCUUAGUUGCCAGCAUUCAGUUGGGCACUCUAAGGUGACUGCCGGUGACAAACCGGAGGAAGGUGGGGAUGACGUCAAAUCAUCAUGCCCCUUAUGACCUGGGCUACACACGUGCUACAAUGGACAGAACAAAGGGCAGCGAAACCGCGAGGUUAAGCCAAUCCCACAAAUCUGUUCUCAGUUCGGAUCGCAGUCUGCAACUCGACUGCGUGAAGCUGGAAUCGCUAGUAAUCGCGGAUCAGCAUGCCGCGGUGAAUACGUUCCCGGGCCUUGUACACACCGCCCGUCACACCACGAGAGUUUGUAACACCCGAAGUCGGUGAGGUAACCUUUAUGGAGCCAGCCGCCGAAGGUGGGACAGAUGAUUGGGGUGAAGU